rnacentral:lncRNA from 10 species
GGGUUGGAGAAAGGUGGACCCAUGGGCGGUGGCUGCCCACGGCCUUUGAAGUUUCAUUUGCAGUGUUUUAUGAGCCCAUGCUGGAGUAAAUUGUACCUGCAGGCUGCUGCACUUUGCCCUCCCCAGCAAAAGGAGGUGGAAUUCACACUAGUAAUGUCUGGCUGGAGAACACCCUAGAUGAUGAAUCCAGUGAGGGUCAACAGCAGAGAGGAGCUGCCCAGCAGAGAGGAGCUGCCCACCACACCCUCCACCCCAUCUUCCUGAGCCUUCUGUGGAAGCACUGGUUUGCUAGCCUCUGAAGGGCCAUGGGCCCAGCACCAGGUGCCCUCAGCUCUGAGGCCAGGCCGUUACCUGCAUUCAAGAUGGACACUGGCUAGAGAAAGCAUGUCCACAGGGCUGGUCAGUAGGAAAGGGGUUGUGUUUCUGGAAGGGUGCAUCUAACCCAGGGGUUGGUGAGCAUUUUCCUAACCCAGGGCCAGGUAGUAAACAUUUUUGG